UACGUAGGGUCCGAGCGUUGUCCGGAAUUACUGGGCGUAAAGAGCUCGUAGGUGGUUUGUCGCGUUGUUCGUGAAAACUCACAGCUUAACUGUGGGCGUGCGGGCGAUACGGGCAGACUAGAGUACUGCAGGGGAGACUGGAAUUCCUGGUGUAGCGGUGGAAUGCGCAGAUAUCAGGAGGAACAUCGGUGGCGAAGGCGGGUCUCUGGGCAGUAACUGACGCUGAGGAGCGAAAGCGUGGGGAGCGAACAGG
rnacentral:rRNA from 1 species